rnacentral:lncRNA from 1 species
GGCCUCUGCGGACGCGACCCACGCAGACCACAGCCGAGCCCGCCGGACCCCGGGACUACGGAAGCCAUCCCGUCCGGCCACCCACACCCGCGCCGCGGCUGGGGCUUGGGUUGGGGACUGUGGCGGCGAAGAAGCCGGGGGAGGGAGUUCUCACAAGAUCUGAUGGUUUAAGCGUGGCAGUUUCCCCUGAGCUCUCCUUCCUGCUGGUAUGUAAGGCGUGCUUUGCUUCCUCUUCACCUUCCGCCAUGAUUGUACAUUUCCUGAGGCCUCCCCAGCCAUGCAGAACUGCAUACAACUUAGGAUUCAUAACUACAUAUAUACGGAUAGAAGUGCAUGAACAGAAAAUCUGCCCUUCUGGAAUACCAAAUGCAAAAUUAAAGUGACUACAAGCAGAAUUUGGAGAAAAAAAUAAAAGAUGCAAUAUAGUUUUUAAAAUCAUUGUUAAAAUAUAAUGAGUCUGUACUUUGCUUAAACAAUAAAAAAGUCUUCGAUUUA